rnacentral:rRNA from 1 species
CGACUGAGCGGCGACGGGUGAGUAACGCGUGGGUAACCUGCCUUACGACAGGGGGAUAACAGUUAGAAAUGACUGCUAAUACCGCAUAAGACCCCGGUACCGCAUGGUACAGAGGUAAAAACUGAGGUGGUGUAAGAUGGACCCGCGUCUGAUUAGGUAGUUGGUGAGGUAACGGCUCACCAAGCCGACGAUCAGUAGCCGGCCUGAGAGGGUGGACGGCCACAUUGGGACUGAGACACGGCCCAGACUCCUACGGAAGGCAGCAG